AAAGUUUUUAACAAAAAGUCUAAUGAUUAAGGUUAUAAAUGUGGUUGUGUUAAUCAAACAUUUCAGUUAAAUAAUUACUCACAUCCAAAUGAACAACUAGACAUACAUUACGAAAUCAUGACUACCGAAGAAUAUCAAUUAACCAAGUAAUAAACUACUGAAUUUGAUGAAAAUGAUUACAAAGGAUAUGACUACGAAUUCUGAGAACUAGUUUAAAAAUCGAAUCUAU